rnacentral:rRNA from 1 species
UUGAAAGGGAAACGAUUGAAGUCAGUCGUACCAGCGGGAAUCAACCUUUCGAGUGGGGNUUUUGGAGUUUUGAAGAGUGUCAAAACCUUUGAGAUUUCAAAAUUUUCGCUCCUUUGGUGUACUUUCUCGUGGGUAGGUUAACAUCGAUUUCGAUCAUCAUAAAAGGAUUGGAGGAAUGUAGCUUCGAUCUUGUAUUGAAGUGUUAUAGCCUUUGGUAAAUGUGAUGAUUAGGAUCGAGGAUUGCAACGAAUACCCUUUUGGGCUAUCCGCCUGAUCUCUGAUACGUGGCCUUGGUAUCGAAAGCGUGCUUAUGGUAUUGAGGUAUUACGGUCAAAAGGUUAGAACGGAUUACAUUCGUUAAGGAUGUUGACGUA